AGGUGGGGUGAGCUGUGCCAAGAGCGCUCGGUGAAGUCGGGGAGGCGAGGAGAAGCCCCGCGCCGACAGCCAGGCUGGGGCCGCAGGGCGGCUGCGGUCCACUUCCGAGUCCGCCCCACGCGGCCACGCUCACAGGAGCCGGUCAGCCCUCCCACACCGCAGGUGCUCCUGCCGGGCCUGCCCUCCCCACAGGGUCCCAGGCCGCAGCUCUCGCGCCCUCUCCAUGAGAUGCCUGCUCGCUCCCAGGACGUUUCCAGACAUCCGUCUUCGCAGCUGGACUCGCCUGCCCGCCGUGUGCUGCCUUCUGGCCCGCUGGCCUGAAUGCAGUGCCCAGGGCAGGCAGGUCUGUGUGCGAAGGGCAAGGCCAGCAGCCCCGCCCCUCCCCUGUGCUCAGGAACCCAGAAUCUCAGACCUGGAAGGGCUCGCAGUGGCCCUCCAGGCAGCACAGCAGCUGGUGAACACCCAGGCUCCCACUCGGGCCUGCCCCAAAGCCCGGCUCUGCAGCCCACGAGCUGUGCGGCCUCCAGCGGCCACCUAGCCGCUCUGGGUCGGCUCUCACCGGAAGCGGGAGCACCAGUGUUACGUGGGAAGACAGAAGUCAGCCCGUGUGUGAGAGCGGCCGAAGGAAACAGCGUCCAUGGAAGGGAGGGAAGCAGCUCUCAGCAAAGUCCUGCCUGGACCCUGGUAGCUUCACAGGGGGUCCCGGCCUUCCCCAGGGAGGCCCGGCGCUGGGCGGGCUACCAGGCGGGUAACUGGGCAAUUAAACCUACAAGCAGCUUUACCUGUUGCAUAGCCAAGCAAUCCCUUCAUCCAGGAGGAGAGGGUGGGGAUUGGGGGGGGUGAAACGGCAGGAACACCUGGCCCCCACUCCACUCCCUCACAAGCCCCAGUCCUCCCGAGCCACCGGCCAGGGCUGUCAGCUGUGUGCCAGCUCUCAUGUCUGCUUAGGUGCCCCUUGCCUGCCAGGUGUGUUCUCUCCAUUAAACCCUAACCUUGCCACCCCA